rnacentral:piRNA from 1 species
GUUGCAAGCUGGGGCCUCUGUGAUGACAC